UUAAACUCCUGUCAUUAGGGAACAAGUGCCGGCAAUUAACUGUUGCCGGCUUGAUAGUACCUGAAGAGGAAGAGACGGCUAACUCUGUGC
rnacentral:rRNA from 1 species